GAACGAACGCUGGCGGCGCGCCUAAUACAUGCAAGUCGAGCGAGAAGACGUAGCAAUACGUUUGUAAAGCGGCGAACGGGUGAGGAAUACAUGGGUAACCUACCCUCGAGUGGGAAUAACUAGCCGAAAGGUUAGCUAAUACCGCGUACGCUCCUUGGACUUCGGUUCAGGGAGGAAAGCGAUACCGUGGGUAUCGCGCUCUUGGAUGGGCUCAUGUCCUAUCAGCUUGUUGGUGAGGUAACGGCUCACCAAGGCUUCGACGGGUAGCUGGUCUGAGAGGACGAUCAGCCACACUGGCACUGCGACACGGGGCCAGACUCCUACGGGAGGCAGCAGUAAGGAAUAUUGCGCAAUGGGCAAAGCCUGACGCAGCGACGCCGCGUGGGGGAUGAAGGUC
rnacentral:rRNA from 1 species